AAAAACAUUGGGUUAAAUAAAAGAAUAUAGAGUAGGGAUCCAUCUUGAUCCACACUCCAUUUCAACCAGAAGGUUGCUUGGCAGAAACAACCGCCCACCUCCGGAAUCAGUCCCCGCCCAUUCCCCUUAGGCGCGAAAUUCAUUUGAGCGAAAGACAUUAGAGUGAGAGGAGCUCUUUAAAGCUCCUGAGAAUCUUAAAAAGCUUACAGAAAACGAGAAAAACUUACAGCGGGUGCCUGUCGGACAUUCACCGUCGUUUUCGAUGAUUUCCCCUCGGAGCAAGGAUUCGAUGUCUGGAGUCUUUGGCGCAAUCAAGCCUUCUCCUCUGCCUGGAGCGGCCGUUGACGGACCCGCCAGCUUUAAGGGAGACCAGUGAGCAAGAGAUGUAAACGGAAAAUCUGUCUUAACUCCACCCUCUUCCUGGUUUAACCACUCCCACCGCAGGUCUUAACUCUGCCCUCUUUCUGUUUAAAACUCCACCCUCUUCCUGGUUUAACCACUCCCACCGCAGGUCUUAACUCCACCCUCUUCCGGGUAAGCCACACCCACUUGACCUUGACAUUUGAACCUGACCUUUGACUUUGA